rnacentral:rRNA from 1 species
UGGCUCAGGACGAACGCUGGCGGCGUGCUUAACACAUGCAAGUCGAACGGUGAAGCCCAGCUUGCUGGGUGGAUCAGUGGCGAACGGGUGAGUAACACGUGAGUAACCUGCCCCUGACUCUGGGAUAAGCCUUGGAAACGAGGUCUAAUACCGGAUAUGUGACGUUCAGGCAUCUGAUGCGUCUGGAAAGAUUUAUCGGUCAGGGAUGGACUCGCGGCCUAUCAGCUUGUUGGUGGGGUAACGGCCUACCAAGGCGACGACGGGUAGCCGGCCUGAGAGGGCGACCGGCCACACUGGGACUGAGACACGGCCCAGACUCCUACGGGAGGCAGCAGUGGGGAAUAUUGCACAAUGGGCGCAAGCCUGAUGCAGCGACGCCGCGUGAGGGAUGAAGGCCUUCGGGUUGUAAACCUCUUUCAGCAGGGAAGAAGCGCAAGUGACGGUACCUGCAGAAGAAGCGCCGGCUAACUACGUGCCAGCAGCCGCGGUAAUACGUAGGGCGCAAGCGUUGUCCGGAAUUAUUGGGCGUAAAGAGCUCGUAGGCGGUUUGUCGCGUCUGCUGUGAAAACUCGAGGCUCAACCUCGGGCUUGCAGUGGGUACGGGCAGACUAGAGUGCGGUAGGGGAGACUGGAAUUCCUGGUGUAGCGGUGGAAUGCGCAGAUAUCAGGAGGAACACCGAUGGCGAAGGCAGGUCUCUGGGCCGCAACUGACGCUGAGGAGCGAAAGCGUGGGGAGCAAACAGGAU